rnacentral:rRNA from 1 species
AAUGAACGCUGGCGGCGUGCUUAACACAUGCAAGUCGAGCGCGAAAACUCCUUCGGGAGUGAGUAGAGCGGCGGACGGGUGAGGAACACGUGAGAAUCUGCCCUUCAGUGAGGAAUACCCUCGAGAAAUCGAGGCUAAUACUGCAUACGUCCCUUCGGGGAGAAAGAUGGCUUUAUUGCUGUCGCUGGAGGAUGAGCUUGCGUACUAUUAGCUAGUUGGUGGGGUAAUGGCCUACCAAGGCGAUGAUGGUUAACCGGCCUGAGAGGGUGAACGGUCACACUGGAACUGAGACACGGUCCAGACUCCUACGGGAGGCAGCAGUGAGGAAUAUUGCGCAAUGGGCAAAAGCCUGACGCAGCGACGCCGCGUGGAGGAUGAAGGCUUUAGGGUCGUAAACUCCUGUUAAGCGAGAAGAAAGGCUCAUCAUUAAUACCGAUGAGAGAUGACGUUAUCGCUAGAGAAAGCACCGGCUAACUUCG